rnacentral:rRNA from 1 species
AGGACGAACGCUGGCGGCGUGCUUAACACAUGCAAGUCGAGCGGAAAGGCCCUUCGGGGUACUCGAGCGGCGAACGGGUGAGUAACACGUGAGUAAUCUGCCCCUAGCUCUGGGAUAGCUCCGGGAAACCGGGAUUAAUACCGGAUACGACCACCUUAGACAUCUUUUGUGGUGGAAAGAAUUUCGGCUAGGGAUGAGCUCGCGGCCUAUCAGCUUGUUGGUGGGGUAACGGCCUACCAAGGCGACGACGGGUAGCCGGCCUGAGAGGGCGACCGGCCACACUGGGACUGAGACACGGCCCAGACUCCUACGGGAGGCAGCAGUGGGAAUAUUGCGCAAUGGGCGAAAGCCUGACGCAGCGACGCCGCGUGGGGGAUGGAAGGCCUUCGGGUUGUAAACCCUUUCAGCAGGGACGAAGCGAAAGUGACGGUACCUGCAGAAGAAGCGCCGGCUAACUACGUGCCAGCAGCCGC